rnacentral:lncRNA from 1 species
CUGUGUUUUCCAUUGUCACUGUAAGCUGCGUUAGAUCGUUUAUUACUUCCUGUCCUGGCAUACCAUUAAUAUCGCGGUGCGAUAUGAUCAGGCCAGCUCAAACGACCUGAACGCAGAAUUUUGGCAAUUGCUCGUAGAAGCGCGAUGAUGUGUUUCUUGGUGAGGCCGAGUGUAGGCCUGUUGGUAAUUUGUCUCUAUGUGCGUUCAAUUUGCUGUGCCCAAAUGCAAAUGAGUAUCGAGGUGGAAAAGUGCAAAGACAAAUCAAACCCGGACACAUGCGAGUAUUUUGUUACUUGGAAAUGGGACAAUGCUUGCACCUUCUUUGCCGUUCUGCCGCCCUUCAGGUCUUACAUACAAGCACAUUCACCAGCAUGGAAGUGUCCACUGAAAAAAGGUACCUAUAAAGUGACAAACGCAACGAUGGAAGGUGAACUAGGAUUGCAGUUCCUGAAGGGUGACAGCAGAGUUUUGUGGAAACUCCGCAUCAUCGUGAAAAAUCCAAGGGCGAACGUCAUCAUCGAGUGCUUGGAUCUACAUUUCAGGAUCGUCUCUGUUCGAACAAAAUCUUGAUCCAGUUCAUGGUACCAUACCCAUUUUUCAUGUGACAUUUCGCUGUUCCCAAUUAUCUAGUCUAGGAUCGGGCAUGUAGUCCGGUCAAAUUAGCUCUAAAAAAUGGCAAUCUGGAAAAAUAAAUGCAUAGAUCUGAAGGUUCCUGUGCGAAAACAUGUUGAAAUCGGCCACCAAAACAACUUAUCAAAAGCUUAUCAGAAUCUGCUUUCCGCUAACUGCUACGGCAUCCAUCUUGAAAAGGCGGGCUGGGGGGCCUAAAUUACGCAGCCGGCGACCAGUUUUUCGCUUAUAUCUCGAAAACAAUCCAUUCUACGGAAAAACGUCAUUGGACUUGUCAUAACGAGCGCAACAUUUUCUACGAGAAACUAUGGCAUUUAUCAAUUUGUGACUAUGUGAGUUCUAUGCAGCUGGCGGAGAAAUCGAAUUUUGCUUGAAAUCGCGCUUUCCAUUCUUUCCUGGCCUUGAAGAGUGUAAAAAUUUCCAAUAGAACGGUGCCUAUUAUUUUACUAGGAGAUCCGCCCCUGGAUCGCUAUGCGGUCCGACCCAAUGGCGGCUGCUAUACGCGAUGAGUACCGGCUUGGCCGCGUCAUGCAUUGUCACGAUUCAAAUUGGGACGUCAUCACUUUAUUCUAAUAGAUUUACAAGGUAGAUGAGCUAUUCAAUCUAUUUACGCAUAUAUCUUUUUGAUAAAUCUAUUUUGUCCUUUUUUGUUCAAUACUAAUUAAAACACAACAAGUUUCUUUCUUCCUGAGUUAGCGCGAGAAGGACAAUUAAAAAAUGAUGAGUUUAAGAAAAGGAAGAUAAGCAUUCGUUGUUUACUUGAAAUUUUAGUUUAAUUUACAGCCAGAAACAUAUAUUAGCGCAUAAAAAGUGCAGGAUUACUUCACGCAUUGCGCCUAACAUAGUGCGGUCGCUGGUCGGCGCGGAAAACAUAUUGGCGCCUACAAGAGUGCAGGAAUACUUCACGCAUUGCGCCUAGCACAGUGCGGUCGCUGGUCGGCGCGGAAAAUAUAUUAGCGCCUACAAGAGUGUAGG